GGCGGCAUAGCCAAGUGGUAAGGCACAGGUCUGCAAAACCUCCAUCAUCGGUUCGAUCCCGAUUGCCGCCU
rnacentral:tRNA from 1 species